rnacentral:rRNA from 1 species
AGGACGAACGCUGGCGGCGUGCUUAACACAUGCAAGUCGAGCGGAAAGGCCUUUCGGGGUACUCGAGCGGCGAACGGGUGAGUAACACGUGAGUAAUCUGCCCAUCGCUUCAGGAUAGCCAGUCGGAAACGGUGAUUAAUACUGGAUAUGACAUUCCUUCGCAUGUUGGGUGUGGAAAGUUUUUUCGGCGGUGGAUGUGCUCGCGGCCUAUCAGCUUGUUGGUGGGGUAAUGGCCUACCAAGGCUUUGACGGGUAGCCGGCCUGAGAGGGUGACCGGCCACGACUGGGACUGAGACGACGGCCCAGACUCCUACGGGAGCAGCAGUGGGAUAGUGGACAAGUGGGCGAAGCCUGAUCCAGCAACGCCGCGUGAGGAUGACGGC